GGCAGCAUGGCGUAAUGGUUUGAGCAUUGGACUAUGACUCUGGAGAUCUGGGUUUGAAUCCCAGCUUGGCCA
rnacentral:tRNA from 1 species